GUCCCUGUGGGACUUCCUGAUAAUCUGCUCUGUCCCCCUCCAAACUCCAUUCUCAGGUAGGGCCUAUGGUGUCUCUCUCUUCCUAAACUCUAUUCUCAGGUAGGGCCUAUGGUGUCUCUCUCUUCCUAAACUCUAUUCUCAGGUAGGUGUCUGUCCCUCCCUGAUGGUAUCCAUCUCUCCCUGGACUGUGCCUCUUCCUGCCUCUCUGGCUGCACCCGUGUCGUUAACGGUACCGGU